GAAGCUGACCAGACAGUCGCCGCUUCGUCGUCGUCCUCUUUCGGGGGGAGACGGGCGGAGGGGAGGAAAGUCCGGGCUCCAUAGGGCAAGGUGCCAGGUAACGCCUGGGGGGUGUCACAGCCCACGACCAGUGCAACAGAGAGCAAACCGCCGAUGGCCCGUGCAAGCGGGAUCAGGUAAGGGUGAAAGGGUGCGGUAAGAGCGCACCGCGCGGCUGGUAACAGUCCGCGGCACGGUAAACUCCACCCGGAGCAAGGCCAAAUAGGGGUUCAUAAGGUACGGCCCGUACUGAACCCGGGUAGGCUGCUUGAGCCAGUGAGCGAUUGCUGGCCUAGAUGAAUGACUGUCCACGACAGAACCCGGCUUAUCGGUCAGUUUCACCU
rnacentral:RNase_P_RNA from 1 species